rnacentral:rRNA from 1 species
ACUCACGUGACGGUCCCUGCUACCUAAACGAACCCGGGCGCGAAAAGCGUCAAGGAAUACAAAUUCAAUGUACCCAUCCAUGACCCGGUCAUUCGGUGUUGUGUUAUGGUGUCAUGUUACUAACAAUAAACGACUCUCGGCAACGGAUAUCUCGGCUCUCGCAUCGAUGAAGAACGUAGCGAAAUGCGAUACUUGGUGUGAAUUGCAGAAUCCCGUGAACCAUCGAGUUUUUGAACGCAAGUUGCGCCCGAAGCCUUUGGCUAAGGGCACGUCUGCCUGGGCGUCACGCAUCGCGUCUCCCCCACACCAAUCACAUUGGUUGGGAAGGAUGAUGGCUUCCCGUGCCUCACCGGGUGCGGUUGGCUUAAACUUGGAGCCCACGGUAAAUAUUUGCCGCGGCGAUAGGUGGUGAACUUGGCUUAGGCCGUGUAAACAACCCGUUGCGGUGUGUUAGUGUGGGCUCGUUGGACCCAAUGUUUUGCAUUGUGCAAUUCAAACCUUU